rnacentral:rRNA from 1 species
CCUACGGGAGGCAGCAGUGGGGAAUAUUGGGCAAUGGAGGAAACUCUGACCCAGCGACGCCGCGUGCGGGAUGAAGGCCUUCGGGUUGUAAACCGCUUUCAGCAGGGAAGAAGCGAAAGUGACGGUACCUGCAGAAGAAGCACCGGCUAACUAUGUGCCAGCAGCCGCGGUAAUACAUAGGGUGCAAGCGUUGUCCGGAAUUAUUGGGCGUAAAGAGCUCGUAGGUGGUUCGUCACGUCGGAUGUGAAAAUCUGGGGCUUAACCCCAGACCUGCAUUCGAUACGGGCGAGCUUGAGUAUGGUAGGGGAGUCUGGAAUUCCUGGUGUAGCGGUGGAAUGCGCAGAUAUCAGGAGGAACACCAAUGGCGAAGGCAGGACUCUGGGCCAUUACUGACACUGAGGAGCGAAAGCGUGGGGAGCGAACAGGAUUAGAUACCCUGGUAGUCCACGCCGUAAACGGUGGGCACUAGUUGUGGGGACCUUCCACGGUCUCUGCGACGCNGCUACGCAUAAGUGCCCGCCGCGGGAGGUACGAGCGCGAGAAGUAAACGUACGAAAGAAGUAGACGGCGUGAGACGNGCCGACGGACGACGACGAGGGAGGAGG